AGAACGAACGCUGGCGGCAGGCCUCAAACAUGCAAGUCUAGGGGGUGUAGCAAUACAUCACCGGCGGACGGGUGCGUAACGCGUGGGAAUGUACCUAUUGGUUCGGAACAACUGAGGGAAACUUCAGCUAAUACCGGAUGAGCCCGAAAGGGGAAAGAUUUCUCGCCAAUAGAUCAGCCCGCGUCCGAUUAGCUAGUUGGUGGGGUUAAAGCCUACCAAGGCGACGAUCGGUAGCUGUUCUGAGAGGAAGAUCAGCCACACUGGGACUGAGACACGGCCCAGACUCCUACGGGAGGCAGCAGUUGGGAAUCUUGGACAAUGGGGGAACCCUGAUCCAGCCAUGCCGCGUGAGUGAUGAAGGCCUUCGGGUUGUAAAACUCUUUCGACGGGGACGAUAAUGACGGUACCGUAGAAGAAGCUCCGGCUAACUUCGUGCCAGCAGCCGC
rnacentral:rRNA from 1 species